rnacentral:rRNA from 1 species
AUUGCCUUAGUAGCGGCGAGUGAAGCGGCAAAAGCUCAAAUUUGAAAUCUGGCUCUUUCAGAGUCCGAGUUGUAAUUUGAAGAAGGUAUCUUUGGGUCUGGCUCUUGUCUAUGUUUCUUGGAACAGAACGUCACAGAGGGUGAGAAUCCCGUGCGAUGAGAUGAUCCAGGCCUAUGUAAAGUUCCUUCGAAGAGUCGAGUUGUUUGGGAAUGCAGCUCUAAGUGGGUGGUAAAUUCCAUCUAAAGCUAAAUAUUGGCGAGAGACCGAUAGCGAACAAGUACAGUGAUGGAAAGAUGAAAAGAACUUUGAAAAGAGAGUGAAAAAGUACGUGAAAUUGUUGAAAGGGAAGGGCUUGAGAUCAGACUUGGUAUUUUGUAUGUUACUUCUUCGGGGGUGGCCUCUACAGUUUAUCGGGCCAGCAUCAGUUUGGGCGGUAGGAGAAUUGCGUUGGAAUGUGGCACGGCYUCGGUUGUGUGUUAUAGCCUUCGUCGAUACUGCCAGCCUAGACUGAGGACUGCGGUUUAUACCUAGGAUGUUGGCAUAAUGAUCUUAAGUCGCCCGUCUUGA